UUCCCCCAGUAGUGGCGAAUGAAGCGGGAAAAGCUCAAGUUUGAAAUCUGGCGGGCGACCGUCCAGAGUUGUAAGCUGGAGAGGUGUCGUCGGAUGCGGUCCGGGCUCAAUUUCCUUGGAACAGGAGGUCAUGGAGGGUGAGAACCCCGUAUGUGGCUUGGGUGCCGUGGUCCUUGUGACGUAUCCUCUAAGAGUCGGGUUGUUUGGGAAUGCAGCUCAAAAUGGGUGGUAAAUUUCAUCUAAAGCUAAAUAUUGGUGAGAGACCGAUAGCAAACAAGUAGAGUGAUCGAAAGAUGAAAAGUACUUUGAAAAGAGAGUGAAACAGUACGUGAAAUUGUUGAAAGGGAAGCGUUUGGCAUCAGCCCAUGGCGGCGGUCGAACAUCUGGGCUUCUGCCCAGUGCACUCGGCAGUCGCCGGGCCAGCGUCGGUUCCACCUGCUGGAGAAAGGCCUUGGGGAAGUGGCACUCCCUUGUGGAGUGUGUUAUAACCCAUGGCGUCAUGCGGCUUGGUGGGACCGAGGUCCGCGGUUUUGUCCUAGGACGCUGGCGUAAUGGUUCCAAGCGACCCGUCUUGAAACACGGACCAAGGAGUCUAACAUCUAUGCGAGUGUUUGGGUGUCAAGCCCGGCCGCGCAAUGAAAGUGAAUGUAGGCGGGAGCCCCUCCGGGGGUGCAUCGCCGACCGGUCCGGUGGUUUACCGAAGGAUCUGAGUAAGAGCAUAGCUGU
rnacentral:rRNA from 1 species